GCGGCUGAUGGAGGACCCCUGCGAAGGCGCCUGGAGGGACAAGGAAGACCCGAGCUGCAUCUGCAGGGUCGGCGCGGGCUCGGCCUCUUACUCCUGGCUGGGCGUGUCCGAGCCCCGCCGCGCCCCCUCGUGCCGGCCUCCCGGAGGCCGCGCCCACCCGCCCCCGGUCGGGCACCGCCGCCCAAAGCUCAGGUUCUGAAUUCCGCUCCUCCAGGAGCUUCAUCACCUCCCGCUUCAUGGAGCUGGGGCAGGCAGCCUUCUUAACCCGAUUUUACUGAUGAGCAAACUGAGGCGCAGAGGUCAGGUGGCAGCCAGGACUUCAACCCGGGUUUGACUCCAACCCUACUGCCCAAUAGCACCCCGCAACGCCCCAGCAUAGAGCACCAUCCAGGUUCCCAGCGCCCCCUUAGCCGAUGGCCCAGUGUCCCGGCGCUCCAGCAGUUCCGCAGCACGCGGUGUGGAUUGGGUCCAUUCAGUAGAUGAGGAGGCUGAGGUUCCCGCGCAUAGCGGGUGCUGCGGCCCCUCUCCGACCCUUACAAGAACCGCCCCCGUACCACCACCAUCCCUUCUCUCUUUUCCCUUUCUUUUUUUGAGACAGGGUCUCCCUCUGUCACCACCUCUUUCACCUUGGUGAUUGAUAGAAGCCAGGAUGGUCUCGAUCAUCUGACCUCGUGAUCAACCUGCCUCCGCCUCCCAAAGUGCUGGGAUUAUAGGCAUGAGCCACAGCGCCCGGCCUUCAUUCACGUCUUUUAAUUUGUCUUUCAUUUUCUGCUCUCCUCACCUCUUCCUUCCAAACCCUUUGGACUCCAGCUCCGGGCUCCCUUUGGGACCCCCUUCCCAGAAGCUUCAAUGGCCUCUGCCUCUCCCUCGCUGUCUGCGGCGCCCUCUGCAGGUGACUGAUACUUGGCAUCUUAUGGCUUGGACCCCAUGAGAAGUGGAAGCUGACAAGAGGAACACCACCUCUCACCGAGAAUACACCUUUUAUAUCAGUGGUUCAAUCUUCAUCUGCUGCAGAGGAAAAAACUGAGACUCCAAGAACAGAAAUGCUUUGCUCUAAGGUCACACGACAGGAAAGAGGCAGCGCUGUGACCAGAAGGCAGGACCCCUGCCUGCCCGCUUGACCAAGGCCCUUCCCCAGCCUGGCCCACACCUCAGCCCUCCCAGGUGACUUGGGUGGCCCAGAUGGACUUGGCUGUCCUGGGUCUGUAGGGGUGGGGUGGGUUCUUUCCCAAGGAAGUGGGAAGGAGAAGCAUAGCAGGAGGGGAAAAGAAAAUAAAGUGAAAAUAUAGGAGUCUAAGAAGGGAAUGGGCUGGGCGCAGUGGCUCACACCUGUAAUCUCAACACUUUGGGAGGCCGAGGCAGGUGGAUCACUUGAGGUCAGGAGUUUGAGACCUGCCUGGCCAACAUGGUAAACUCCUGUCUCUACUAAAAAUACAAAAAUUAGCCAGGCAAAAAAUUAGCCGGGCAUGGUGGUGCUUAUCUGUAAUCCCAGCUAUGUCUAUAAUCUCAGCUACUCGGGAAGCUGAGGCAGGAGAAUUGCUUGAACCUGGGAGGUAGAGGUUGCAGUGAGCCGAGAUCAUGCCACUACACUCCAGCCUGGUGACAGAGCGAAACUCCAUCUCAUAAACAAAGAAAAGGAGGGAAUGGAAGGUCUGAGAUAGGAGGGUGAAGAGGCGGGAAGAAGCAAGUGAAUGAGAAGGGACUGCCUUCGAUGUGCUUUACUUUUCCUACCCUGUAGGGUCUCUCUUUAGGGUGACCGUGUGUCAUCCUAAGUGGGAGAUUUCGAGAGGGAAGAAGGUACUAACUGCCUCCCCACCCGGCUGGGACAACAGGCGCAGUUAGCCCAGGUUCCAAACAGCAGGUAUAAACUGACACUGAGGCACAUGGUCACCUUCUAUCUGUGCCCUGGACAGAGAUGCCGUAUCUACGGUGGCUUCUUUUACUCAGCAUGGCUGGCUUCCACAACUCCCAACCUCAGCUUCCAGCUCUACCCCUUCGCCCCCACAGCCACUUCCAUCUUCACAAUCACACUUGAGCCUGGUCCCCUUUUGUUUUCUAUCCUGGCUGAGGACAUCUCUUCUACCGUGGUUCCCCAACCUGGAAAUCUCCCUAAACUUUAUACCAAACUACUCACCAAGUCCUGGCAAUUCCUCUUCCCCCAGGUGUUAUGGAGCCCCAGCCCCCUCUUCCCAGGAGCUCCAGUCCCAGCCUGGCUUUGGUUCACAGUUCUCGGUCAGAUCUUUUCUCCCCCAGGCACCCUGCCUAUUUCACACCCAAACCCCAAAACCCUGGAUUUUGGCUGAGUUGGCAACAACACUGGUGUAAGACGCCAGGCAGAUUCACCUAACUAAAUGGACCCAUUUCCUCACUGCUGCAGAAUGUUCCAGAGCCUUUCCAGGGCUUCUUAACUGUUGUCAGGUCUCCAGGGACCUGACACAAGUGUCCAGACACGUACAUGCCUUGAUUUGCUGAGACUCAGGAGCCCUGCAGGAAGGAACUCAGCUUCUCUUGGAGGCAGAAAUGUUGAGAACUUUCCUUGGGCUUAUAUUGCAGGAAGGAGGGCCAAAAAGGCACCAAGAAGGAGAAAGAUGCUGGGCAGAGAAGUCCAGGCUGCGUGGCUGGGUGUGGCCGUGGGAUAGCCCGGGGCCUAGGUGCUGUGUGCAUCUGGGGCUGUGCUUCCGGCUCCAGGAGAGUCUGCUGGGGAGAGAAAGGGAGAAGGAACAGAGGAAAGAGCCCAGCCAAGGAGAUCCCGGCUCCUCUGCUGUGGUCUCCACUCUGACAGAACUGGCAGUAACAAGUAGAAGGUGGAGCCUGGCCCAGCACGGUGGCUCACACCUGUAAUCCCAGCACUUUGGGAGUCCAAGGUGGGUGGAUCACCUGUGGUCAGGAGUUUGAGACCAGCCUGGCAAUGUGGUGAAAGCCCGUUUCUACAGAAAAAUACAAAACUAGCCUGGGUGUGGUGGUGUGCAUCUGUGGUCCCAGCUACUCGGGAAGUGGAGGCAGGAGGAUCACUUGAGCCUGAGGUUCAACUUGGGAGGUUGAGGCUGCAGUGAGCCGUGAUCAUACCACUGCACUCCAGCCUGGGUGAUAGGGCAAGACACUGUCUCAAAAAGAAAGAAGGUGGUGCCCUACUGGCUGGAGGGGAGGAAAGGAAAAAAUAGGGAGGGGUCACAGCCCUAUAGGAGGCCUACUGUGGCAGAGGCUGGCCAAGCUGCCCAUGAGCAGAGCAUAGAGGUCAAUAGAGCAGAGGCAGGGAAAACUGCCCACAGCAGCUAGGGUUAUUAUUUAUAAAGUACCCUGCCCCACCCCAUCUAGAGGACAGAUGGCCUUUUCUGGUCCAAUGAACUGGAUGAGGCCAGGGAACAUUUAGAAAAGGACCUCCAAGAAUUCUAGGUAAACUGUUUUUAACAUUUUAUUUCAGAACAUUCUAAAUGAAGACAUAACUGGAGAUAAUAGCAUGUGACUUCCCAUGUGCUCAUCUCCCAGCUUUAGCACCUACUGACCCAUGGCCGAUCUGAUUUCUGUGUACCUGCUUACACCCCUUCCUCAUUGAACUUAAAAAAGAAAAAGCUUAUUUUUUUCCUUUUUCUCCCUCUAUCACCCCAUGUUGGAGUGUUAAAAACAGCUUUAUUGAAAUAUAAUUCACAUAUUAUACAAUUCACCCAUCUAAAGUGUACCAUUUAGUGUUUUUAGUAUGCAUCGUAUCUUGCAAACAUCAUUACAAUCCAGUUUUCUUUUUCUUUUUUUUUUUUGAAACAGUCUCACUAUGUCGCCCAGGCUAGAGUACAAUGGCACAAUCUUGGCUCACUGCAACCUCCAGUUCUGGAGUUCAAGCGAUUCUUAGGCCUCAGCCUUCUGGGUAGCUGGGACUACACAUAGGCUUGUGCCACCACACCUGGCCAAUUCUUUUUGGCAUUUUUAGUAGAGAUGGGGUUUCACCAUGUUGGCCAGGCUAGUCUCAAACUCCUGUCCUCAAUUGAUCUGCCCACCUUGGCCUCUCAAAGUGCUGAGAUUACAGAUGUGAGCCACCACACACAGCCUACAAUUUUCAAACAUGUUCAUCCCCCCAUACCCAUGAGCAGUCAACGCCUCUCAUCACCCCUCCACUCAACCCUUAACAACCACUAAUCUACUUUCUGUGACUGAAAUUUGCUGAUUCCAUACAUUUUCAUGUAAAUGGACUAAUAGGCUUCUUUCACGUCAGUCUUCAUGGUUCAACAGGUAUCAGUAUUUCAUUCCUUUUUAUUGCUGAGUAACAUCCCAUAAUAUGAAUGUUUCACAUUUUAUUUUUUCAUUUAGCAAUUGGGAUGGAAUUUGGAUUAUUUCUAUUUUGGGGGAUGUCAUGAAUAAUGCUGCUAUGAAUAUUUAUGUACAAGUUUUUGUGUGGACAUACGUUUUCAUUUCUCUACCUAGGGGUGGAAUUGCUGGAUUGUAGAGUAAAUCUAUGUUUAACUUA